AUUGAACGCUGGCGGCAUGCUUUACACAUGCAAGUCGAACGGUAACAGGGUGCUUGCACCGCUGACGAGUGGCGAACGGGUGAGUAAUGCGUCGGAACGUGCCGAGUAGUGGGGGAUAACGCAUCGAAAGGUGUGCUAAUACCGCAUACGUACUGAGGUAGAAAGUGGGGGACCUUCGGGCCUCACGCUAUUCGAGCGGCCGACGUCUGAUUAGCUAGUUGGUGAGGUAAAGGCUCACCAAGGCGACGAUCAGUAGCGGGUCUGAGAGGAUGAUCCGCCACACUGGGACUGAGACACGGCCCAGACUCCUCCGGGAGACAGCAGUGGGGAAUUUUGGACAAUGGGCGCAAGCCUGAUCCAGCCAUGCCGCGUGUCUGAAGAAGGCCUUCGGGUUGUAAAGGACUUUUGUCCGGGAGCAAAUACCCAGUGCUAAUAACGCUGGGGGCUGAGAGUACCGGAAGAAUAAGCACCGGCUAACUACGUGCCAGCCGCCGCCGUAA
rnacentral:rRNA from 1 species